ACUCCUACGGGAGGCAGCAGUGGGGAAUAUUGCACAAUGGGCGCAAGCCUGAUGCAGCCAUGCCGCGUGUAUGAAGAAGGCCUUCGGGUUGUAAAGUACUUUCAGCAGUGAGGAAGGUGGAUAUGUUAAUAGCAUAUUCAUUUGACGUUAGCUGCAGAAGAAGCACCGGCUAACUCCGUGCCAGCAGCCGCGGUAAUACGGAGGGUGCGAGCGUUAAUCGGAAUUACUGGGCGUAAAGCGCAUGCAGGUGGUUUGUUAAGUCAGAUGUGAAAGCCCGGGGCUCAACCUCGGAAUUGCAUUUGAAACUGGCAAACUAGAGUACUGUAGAGGGGGGUAGAAUUUCAGGUGUAGCGGUGAAAUGCGUAGAGAUCUGAAGGAAUACCGGUGGCGAAGGCGGCCCCCUGGACAGAUACUGACACUCAGAUGCGAAAGCUGGGGAGCAAACAGGAUUAGAUACCCUGAUAGGCUCUGC
rnacentral:rRNA from 1 species